rnacentral:rRNA from 1 species
UACGUAGGCAGCGAGCGUUGUUCGGAAUUACUGGGCGUAAAGAGUGUGUAGGCGGUGCUCUAAGUUCGGUGUGAAAUCUCCUGGCUUAACUGGGAGGGUGCGCCGGAAACUGGAGUGCUUGAGCGUGGGAGAGGAAAGCGGAAUUCCUGGUGUAGCGGUGAAAUGCGUAGAUAUCAGGAGGAACACCUGUGGUGUAGACGGCUUUCUGGACCAUAGCUGACGCUGAGACACGAAAGCGUGGGUAGCAAACGGG